CAAAAUUUCAGAAAAUUUGGUUUGGUUUAAGCCCUUUAACUAUUCACGCAAAGUUACAUUUUUCCUAAAAAUCAGCUUUUCGCAUGCUUAAUUAAUGCAUUUGCCUAAUUUGCAUAUGUCAGCAAUAUGCAAAUUAGGUAAAGGCAUUAAUUAAGCAUGCGAAAAGCUGAUUUUUUAGAAUAAAAUAAAUAGUUAAAGGGCUUAAACUAAACCAAAUUGUCUGAAAUUUUGUACAGUAAUUAAAAACCCGACAAAGUUUCCAUCUAUAAACUCAAAAUAUGAUUACAUCUUUUCUUAAAUAUUGUGCGCGAGCCAUUGUUAGUUUGUUGGACAAGACACACACCCCUGGUCCACAAAAUUUGAGUUUGAGAAUUUCUUUUCAUUAUUCUACAUUAUAAGUACCCAAAGAAGUUAUAUAUAUAAAAAACCGGAUACAAAUAGGUGUUUUGCGAAAUUGAGAGCAAUUUCAAAUCUGUUCAGUUCUUUUUUAUACACCCUGUAUAUACUGCAUAUAUUAUAUACUACUUAAAUUGUCCAGCAAAUUAUUUUAUCCUAAUGAGCAGUUUUAUUAUGUGCUAUUAGUUAGUAUUUUUAUACUCCAUUGUACAUGAUAAAUUGAAAUAUGCAAUUAAAAUAAAUUGAACUUGAACAAUCCCUAUAUGCGCUGACGCUGGCGUUCAAGUUGGUUAAUUAAUUAGGCAAAGGCGUACAUUAUGGGUGUGUAUAGGAGGGGGGAAGUGGGGUUGAAAUCAGUGGGGUCGGUCCCAGUUUUCUUUGCGACUGUAUCAAAGGUCAGUCCCGAUAUUUUGCUAUAAGAGUUGUUUAAUCCAUAAAUGCCACAAAUGUGUGUAAAUGGGGAGCUUUUAAUUGUAGGAA